GACGAACGCUGGCGGCGUGCUUAACACAUGCAAGUCGAACGAAGAGCGAUGGAAGCUUGCUUCUAUCAAUCUUAGUGGCGAACGGGUGAGUAACGCGUAAUCAACCUGCCCUUCAGAGGGGGACAACAGUUGGAAACGACUGCUAAUACCGCAUACGAUCCAAUCUCGGCAUCGGGACUGGAUGAAAGGUGGCCUCUAUUUAUAAGCUAUCACUGAAGGAGGGGAUUGCGUCUGAUUAGCUAGUUGGAGGGGUAACGGCCCACCAAGGCGAUGAUCAGUAGCCGGUCUGAGAGGAUGAACGGCCACAUUGGGACUGAGACACGGCCCAGACUCCUACGGGAGGCAGCAGUGGGGAAUCUUCCGCAAUGGACGAAAGUCUGACGGAGCAACGCCGCGUGAGUGAUGACGGCCUUCGGGUUGUAAAGCUCUGUUAAUCGGGACGAAUGGUUCUUGUGCAAAUAGUGCGAGGAUUUGACGGACCGGAAUAGAAAGCCACGCA
rnacentral:rRNA from 1 species